GACGAACGCUGGCGGCGUGCUUAACACAUGCAAGUCGAACGGAAAGGCCCUGCCUUUGGGGGGUGCGCGAGUGGCGAACGGGUGAGUAACACGUGAGUACCCUGCCCUUGCCUGUGGGAUAACCUCAGACAACUGAGGCUAUUACGGGCUAGGAGCUCCUGCUGCUGGGUGGGGGUUGGUAAGUUUCGGCGGUUGGGGAUGGACUCGCGGCCUAUCAGCUUGUUGCUGGGGUAGUGGCUUACCAAGGCUUUGACCGGUAGCCGGGCUGAGAGGGUGACCGGCCACAUUGGGACUGAGAUGCGGCCCAGACUCCUACGGGACGCAGCAGUGGAGUAUAGUGCACAAUGGGAGGAGGCCUGAUGUAGCAAAGCCGCGUGGGGGAUGACGGCCUUCGGGUUGUAUUCCGCAUUCGCCUGUGACGAAGCGUGAGUGACGGUACCGGGUAAAUAAGCUCCGGCUAACUACGUG
rnacentral:rRNA from 1 species